rnacentral:misc_RNA from 1 species
GAUGAAGAACGUAGUGAAAUGCGAUACGUAAUGUGAAUUGCAGAAUUCAGUGAAUCAUCGAGUCUUUGAACGCACAUUGCGCCCCCUGGUACUCCGGGGGGCAUGCCUGUCCGAGCGUCAUUGCUGCCCUCAAGCACGGCUUGUGUGUUGGGCCUCCGUCCUCCUCCCGGGGGACGGGCCCGAAAGGCAGCGGCGGCACCGCGUCCGGUCCUCGAGCGUAUGGGGCUUCGUCACCCGCUCUUGUAGGCCCGGCCGGCGCUUGCCGACACAUCAAUCUUUUUUCCAGGUUGACCUCGGAUCAGGUAGGGAUACCCGCUGAACUUAAGCAUAUCAAUAAGCGGAGGA